CUCAGAUUUACCCCAGUGGCUGGACGAAANGUGAUAUAUCAUGAAGGACAGUGGGAGAUGCCGUUACUGAGCCUCGGGCUGAGGGCCCUAGGGAAACCACGGCCUCUUGGUUGUGUGACUAGCAGGAAGCUAGUCAUUAUGGGAAUAUUUGGAGAGAAUUGGGACCAAAUGCAACCUUCUCUGCUGGAGCAACAGCCCAAACCCACAAGGGAGUGCGUGAACUGGAGAGCAUUUGCUAGAUAUCAGCCAGGGUGCAGGAGACAUGCAACAUGUUGUUGGAGCAGGAGAGAAAGCACCGGCAUCCAGAAGCUCUACCUGCAUAAGGGCGGCUCUUAUUCUCUGGGUCCCAGAUGCCAGAAAUAGAGAUGACCUUGGGGCUGGGAGUGUAUGGGGAGGGUCUCCUUUCAGAGAAAACACUUCUAAAGUGGGAGUAUAUCAGGACAAAACUGAGAAAGAAAUUAUCAAUGAUAUGGCCACAACCCAGAAUGCCUCCAUAGACAGUGGUGGUUUGAAUGAGAUUGCCCUCAUGGGUCUGUAUAUUUGCAUGCUUAGUCCUCAGUUGCUGAACUGUUUGGAAGGAUCUGGAGGUAUGUCCUUGUUGGAGUAGGUGUGUCCUUGCUGGAGUGGGUGUGGCCUUGUUGG
rnacentral:sRNA from 1 species